CUGAUUUUUCCAUUUCAGCAGUUUCGCGUCUUAUUAUCUUCAAAGUCCUUUGCAACUUUCCCUCACGGUAUUUGCUUGUUAUUGGUUUCGUGGUGCUGUAAGAAUUACUACAGGGCAUUGGUAACCCCUUAAAAAUCCUCCGUGAUCGGGAUUGCAAUUAUUUCCCUUGAAUGACGAAUUCCUAGUAUGUGUGAGUUAUCAACUCACGUUGAUUACGUCCCUGCCCUUUGUACACACCGUCCGUCGCUGCCCGGGACUGAGCCUUUUCGAGAAAAGCGGAGAAUACUGUUUCGAUACCUUUCAAGGAUAGAGAUUCUUUAGUGGAAACUGCUUUAAUUGCAGUGGUUUGAACUCAGCAAAAGUCGUAACAAGGUUUCCGCAGGGGACCUGCGGAAUGAUCUUCA
rnacentral:ncRNA from 1 species